AUUGAAUUAUUUAUCACGAAUUUGUUGUUGUUGGAUGACGUCUUGUUAUUUUGAGAUGUAUUAAUAUGUGUUGAUUUUGAUUUUUUAAGAAAAUGAUGUGGUUUUUGAGUUUUCCAAUUUUAUUCAUGGGCUAGAAUUGCAAUGAAUGAUGGAAUUGAGAACUUUUCAGGUGUUAACUUGAACGUUUUUCCUUUUAUAUUAUUGGUUGCAUAUGUCAGCUGGAAU
rnacentral:misc_RNA from 1 species